rnacentral:rRNA from 1 species
AUUGAACGCUGGCGGCAGGCCUAACACAUGCAAGUCGAACGAGUGGCGGACGGGUGAGUAAUGUCUGGGAAACUGCCCGAUGGAGGGGGAUCACUACUGGAAACGGUAGCUAAUACCGCAUACCAUCGGAUGUGCCCAGAUGGGCUUAGCUUGUAGGUGAGGUAACGGCUCACCUAGGCGACGAUCCCUAGCUGGUAUGAGAGGAUGACCAGGCACACGGGAACGGAGACACGGUCCAGACGCCUACGGGGGGGAGCAGUGGGGAAUAUUGCAAAAUUGGCGCAAUCCUGAUGCAGCCAUGCCGCGUGUAUGAAGAAGGCUUUCGGGUUGUAAAGUACUGUCAGCGGGGAGGCGUUACCCGCAGAAGAAGCACCGGCUAACUCCGUGCCAGCAGCCGCGGUAAUUC